UUUAAUUCGAUGCAAAGCGAAGAACCUUACCAAGGCUUGACAUGCCACGAAUCCUCUUGAAAGAGAGGUGUGCCUUCGGGAACGCGGACACAGGUGGUGCAUGGUUGUCGUCAGCUCGUGCCGUAAGGUGUUGGGUUAAGUCCCGCAACGAGCGCAACCCUCGUGUUUAGUUGCCACCAUUCAGUUUGGAACCCUGAACAAACUGCCGGUGAUAAUAUGUUAGAUACCUAUGACUCGAUUGGUGAAAUAGUAUCUCUCUCCAA
rnacentral:ncRNA from 1 species